AUGGUUACUGAGCUCAUAGAGGGAAGUGAAACACUGAAGACCAUGGGUCGAGUCGCCCCCACCCUGACAGUGCUGCCCCCCUCCAGCCAGGAGCUGCAGCAGGGGAAGGCCACGCUCACGUGUCUGGCCAACAAGGGCUUCCCCUCAGACUGGAGUCUGGCCUGGAAGGUGGACGGCAGCAGCAGCAGUUGCUGGGAGCAGAGCAGGAGCCCCGGGGUGCUGCAGGCGGAUGGCCACUACAGCUGGAGCAGCACCCUGAGGCUCACUGCAGACCAGUGGAGGAUGGUGGGCUCUGUGACCUGUGAGGCCACCCAGGGCUCCCAGACUCCACUCUCAGAGACACUGAGGAGAGACCAGUGUUCCCAGUCCUGA